GACGGCCGGCCACUGAUUGGCCAGAGAGUGUGACGAAGUCACGAGAGCGACAUGGCAAACAUGCUGGUAACAGCAAUAGCAGCGCCGCAGCCAACAUAUUCCACUUCUUCAACUUCUUCAACAUGCCAGCUAAUAAUACUGUAGUGUGCUGCAGUGAUGGGUCUGACUUUGAGUCAGACACAGUACACCAGCCUACUAAAAGAGUAGCAGCUCAAGCUUUGGCGCUUGCAAAUAAAGAGGACCAAGUGACAGCAGCGCCCUCCUUGCACGAAAAGAGUAUUGAAAAAUCCUCUUCAUCUUCCUCCUCCACCUCCUCCUCAUCCUCCUCCGACAGUUCCUCCUCUUCCUCAUCACCUUCUUCAGAAAGAGGGAAGAAGAAGAAGAAGAAGAAGAAGAAGAAGAAGAAGAAGAAGAAGAAGAAGAAGAAGAAGAAGAAGAAGAAGAAGAACAACAACAAAAAAGACAGCAAGAAAAAAAAAGGGAAGAAAGGAAACAAAAAGAACACCAAGAUAGGAAAGAGAGUCCUCACCCCAGAAGAGUCCAUGGAUCGCUACAGGCGCGUCUUUGUAGCAGUGAAAAAGGGCAUGACAAAAACUGAGGCACACGUCAAAGUCGGGGUUGACCGAAAAACGGUGGCAGCAACGGCCGCCAUUUCGGAGCUACAGGCUGUUGACAAGGACCUGUAUGACCAGCUGAGGGCAUCAAUGCCCAAGGGAGAGACACUUUAUCUUUUUUCGGCAAAAUGUAAUCUAGAAAUACUUGGCAG
ensembl:lncRNA